UGUGCAGAGGCGUGCAUCUAUUUAUCUCACAGGAGCUCUCUCCUUCUGAAUUCAAGGGAGAAGACAACCCUUCCAAGUGGGAGGGAAGAUUCAUGAAUGUUCUGGGUACGGAAUUCACUAGAGUCCAAUCUCUCGGAUAAUCAAUCUGCACCGUGACGAGUCGGGGAGCCGCCAUUCCCAUCCUGCCGGCUGGGACUCUGGAGUGUGUUACCUGAUGGAAAUGGAGAAAUCUAUAGGGACAAUAUGAUUCCACUUCUCUCUGUCGAAAGACGAUACCCAAACCUUCGUCUGAAAAGGCUGGGAUUUCUUGUGAUAAUUCUUCAGGCUUCAUAAUGUCUCAACCAAGAGGACUCAAUGGUCUCACAUUGUAAAUGGUGGCAUUGACUACCCAUGGGUCUCAGGAUCAACGGUCAGUUACAAAAGCUGGUGUUUGCAACCUGGUGCUUGUUUAAUUAUUGAGACUCCCAGACACAGGAAUCUUUCUCCAUGGUGGGAGCUUCUGUUCUUGAGAACACAAAUACAGCAAGGCUGUGUGCCGAGAGGGGCCGGGAGUGAGGAAUAUGGGCUGGAGACCAAAGACCUUAGCCUCAUGUUCAUCGUCAGAACAGGGAUCAUAAGAUGGAGCGGCUGCUUCCAAAUUUCAGCUGAGGCAAGAGACCUCACUCAACUACCCAUUUUCUAUUUCCUUUACUCACUGGGGAAAAGCCCAACAACUUACAACACAUGGAUUGUGCUCUCACUGAUCUGGGCUCCUUGGAGGUUUAUCUUUUAUCUUAAGUUAUAUCUCAGAGGGACAUCAGCAUCAUGGUGGAGUGAGUUCUUCCCUUAGUCUCUCCCUUCUAAGUUACAACUAGACCUUCAUUAAUUAGCAGAAGAUUCCCUGCACAGCACAACAGGACAUCUGAGAGAUCCAUGCAGCUGUGCAUCUGAAGGUGGGUGGACUGGAUCCCCAGGAGGCAGUGGAACUAG
rnacentral:lncRNA from 1 species